UACGUAGGGUGCGAGCGUUGUCCGGAAUUAUUGGGCGUAAAGAGCUCGUAGGCGGCUUGUCGCGUCGUGUGUGAAAUCUCAGGGCUCAACUCUGACAUUGCAUACGAUACGGGCAGGCUUGAGUUCGGUAGGGGAGACUGGAAUUCCUGGUGUAGCGGUGAAAUGCGCAGAUAUCAGGAGGAACACCGGUGGCGAAGGCGGGUCUCUGGGCCGAUACUGACGCUGAGGAGCGAAAGCGUGGGGAGCGAACAGG
rnacentral:rRNA from 1 species